CAGCCGCCGCGGUAAUACAGAGGGUGCGAGCGUUAAUCGGAUUUACUGGGCGUAAAGCGUGCGUAGGCGGCUUCUUAAGUCGGAUGUAAAAUCCCUGAGCUUAACUUAGGAAUUGCAUUCGAUACUGGGAAGCUAGUGUAUGGGAGAGGAUGGUAGAAUUCCAGGUGUAGCGGUGAAAUGCGUAGAGAUCUGGAGGAAUACCGAUGGCGAAGGCAGCCAUCUGGCCUAAUACUGACGCUGAGGUACGAAAGCAUGGGGAGCAAACAGGAUUAGAUACCCGAGUAGUCCCUGUCUCUUAUAC
rnacentral:rRNA from 1 species